rnacentral:lncRNA from 13 species
AGCUGAUAAAUGAAUUCUCUUUCACAAAAUUCUUUCUAUUCUCUCACGUUCCAUGGAACCCACAUUAAGAAACACUCAACUUAAAGCAUGGGAAGCAUUGCUGUACCUGUGUCCAUGUUCAAAUAAAGUUGGAAUGAUAUCAUGCACCUGUGGCCAAUGAACUAAAGACAGAAUUGAUUUAAGUUAUUCUCAGAUUUGGACUCCAAAUAUUUUUCUAUUGUAUUCC